rnacentral:rRNA from 1 species
GCCCAGACCUACAGCUAAGGUCCCAAAGUGCGUGUUAAGUGGAAAAGGAUGUGGGGAUUCUAAGACAACUAGGACGUUGGCUUAGAAGCAGCCAUUCAUUGAAAGAGUGCGUAAUAGCUCACUAGUCGAGAGUCCCUGCGCCGAAAAUGUCCGGGGCUGAAACACGACACCGAAGCUUAGGAAUGUGUAAACAUUGGUAGAGGAGCAUUGCUGGCGGGAUGAAGCCAUACCGUAAGGAGUGGUGGACUGCUAGGAAGAGAGAAUGCCGGAAUGAGUAGCGAGAUGAAGGUGAGAAUCCUUCAGGCCGAAUAUCUAAGGUUUCCAGAGUAAAGCUGAUCUGCUCUGGGUAAGUCGGGACCUAAGGCGAGGUCGAAAGACGUAGUCGAUGGAUAACAGGUUGAAAUUCCUGUACCGCAUAUAAACAGAACUGUGGGGACACAGACAGGGAAUGGAAUCCGGGAAUGGAUAUCCCGGUGCAAGCGAGGUAGGAGUGCUGUUGGCAAAUCCGCAGCACGAUCUGAAGACGUGACGCGUACCGAACAUAAGUAGGGAAGUCCAGGCCCCUGGCUGUCAAGAAAAGCCGCUAUCGUUUUAUAUGUGCCCGUACCGCAAACCGACACAGGUGGAUGAGGAGAGAAUCCUAAGGCCGACGGGAGAAGUAUUGUUAAGGAACUCGGCAAAAUGACUCCGUAACUUCGGGAGAAGGAGUGCCAUGAGAGUGGCCGCAGAGAAAUGGCCCAAGCAACUGUUUAGCAAAAACACAGGUCUAUGCAAAACCGCAAGGUGAAGUAUAUGGGCUGACGCCUGCCCGGUGCUGGAAGGUUAAGGGGAGAGGUUAGCGCAAGCGAAGCUUUGAACUUAAGCCCCAGUAAACGGCGGCCGUAACUAUAACGGUCCUAAGGUAGCGAAAUUCCUUGUCGGGUAAGUUCCGACCCGCACGAAAGGCGUAAUGAUUUGAGCGCUGUCUCGACAAUGCAUCCGGUGAAAUUGAAGUACCAGUGAAGAUGCUGGUUACCUGCGCCAGGACGGAAAGACCCCAUGGAGCUUUACUCCAGUUUGAUACUGGGAUUCGGCAUGGUAUGUACAGGAUAGGUGGGAGACUGAGAAGGUAUGACGUCAGUUGUACCGGAGUCGCUGUUGGGAUACCACCCUUACCAUGUUGGAUUUCUAACCUGUGGCCGUAAGCCGGUCAGGGGACAAUGUCAGGCGGGGAGUUUGACUGGGGCGGUCGCCUCCGAAAGGGUAUCGGAGGCGCUCAAAGGU